rnacentral:lncRNA from 1 species
UGGUUCCUGACUGAUUGGUCGAAGAUUAGUUAGUCUCUCCCACAUACAUAAGACAAGAAUGUAUCAGGAUUUGAAAUUCUAGCUCAGCAACCCUAACAGAGAAUACUUUGGAGGAAAUAUCAGUGCAGAGCAAUUAUUGCUAUCUAUAAGCUAGGCUAGAAGAGGAGCACUCCAUUGAGGAUAAUAGAUUUACUUAAAUUUGUCCACAGGUGUGUCCUGAAUUUUGCUUUUUUUUUUUAAACAUUAAUUCAUGAGAAAUUUCUUCUGAUAAAAACAGCUAAGUAAAAUUGAUAAUACAGUGCCUUUACCUGAUGGUGUAUGCAGCAUUUUACAUCUAUAGCAUCGCUUCUCUAUUUUUUAAUGAACAUAAACCUAUUUUCUUUCCCUCCUAUUUCCAUUGAAAAGAAAUUCUCACAACAAAUAUGCAUUAUCAAACAAAACAAAUUCCCAUGAUGUCUGUAUAGAAAAUAAAUGUCUCAUAAUUCACCCUAAACCUAUCAUCUUUCUGUCAUGAAUAGCAUUCUUCAUCUUUGGUCCUAUGGAAUCAUGAAUGGUCAUUCUAUUGAUUGUGUUUCUUACACCUUUCAAAGUUAUUUGUUUUUAACCAUAUUGCUGAUGUUUAAAUUGUUUUCUUAGUUGUAUUCAUUUGACUUUUCAUCAGUUUAUAUAAAUCUUCAGACAUUCAUUUUUGUUAUAACGAUAUUAUAACAAAUUAUUCUCUAGUUCUGCUUACUUCACUCUGCAAUCGGUCCAUAUAAUUUUUGGGCUCUCUCUUUGAAACCAGUCAUUUCCUUAUCAGUGACAGUACAAUACUCCAUCACAUUCAUAUUCUACAACUUAUUCCUAAUUCAUAGGCAGCUCCUUUUCCAGUUUUCCACCACAAAACUAGCUAUUAGUUUUGUAAUAUAAACGACCUUUUCCUCUUUUUUUUUAAAUUUCUUUUGGGUAUAGUUCUUUAACUAUCUAUCAGCGCUUUAACUGGGUAAAAAUAUACACACACUCUUUAGUUACUUUUAAAUUAUAUUUCCAAAUUGUUUUCUGUAGUGGUUAUAUUCAUUCAUAGGACCACUCAUAAUGCAUCAAUAUGCCUGUCUCUUGUCAUAACCCUGCCAACAUUUCUUUUUUCUGUUAUCUUUGCCCACUCUGAUCAGUGCCAGAUAGAAUCUCAGAAUUGCUUUAAUUUGCAUUUCUUCUCACAAAGCUAUAGGUAGCUUGGGUUUUUUGCUUUGGGAACUGCAUGUUCAUCUCAAUUUGAGAAUGUUUUUUUUUCUUCUAAAUUUGAAUAAUUUGUUAUUCAUCUUGGAAAUGAAACCUUUAUUAGAGAAACUUGUUGCAACAUGUUUUUCUUCAAAUAACUGUUUCCCUUUUAAUUUUUAUUAUAUUUGCUUAUUCAAAACUUUUUUCAU